GUGUAGAACUAUCAGACGUUAAUAUGCUCAGCAGGCUGAACAUCAAGGACAUUUUCUUUUUGUUAGUCUUUGGAUGGAAAAUAAAAAUCAAGAAACAAAAACACAAGAGCGGAAAUCGGUUGUAGACUGAACUCGUUUGCUAUCUGACUAGCCUACAUAUUAAACAGCACGUCGGAUAACAAGUAUGGCCUUAAGUUGCUGUCCAAAAUUUAGGAGUGCAAUUUGGGUUGGGUCAACCUGAAUAUGUCCAUGCCCAUUUCAAAUCCGAUCGGACAGGUUAUAAUGAAGAAAAAAAGCCCGCCCAAACACAAUCAAACCUCAACAUGAUCAUUUAUUGGGUGGGUUGGGUUGUUGUCUUGCUCGGCCAUGUCAACCCCAACCCAACCCGACUUUUUGAGUCUGAAUUCACUCAAGCACAUAAUAUACCCUCCCACUUCAUAUUAUAUAAGUUUUGGAAUGACUAUACUUGAACUUUAUUGU
rnacentral:sRNA from 1 species